rnacentral:misc_RNA from 1 species
CGCCGAAGGUGGGGCUGAUGACUGGGGUGAAGUCGUAACAAGGUAGCCGUACCGGAAGGUGCGGCUGGAUCACCUCCUAACAGGGAGACAAUAAAUUGAUUGUGAUGUCUAAGUUAUUUAUUCUUAGGCCGCAAUCCUGUCACCUUAAGGUCGAUCGGUACCUCAGAUUUUUGAAUUAGUUUUACAAUUGAUUCUUUGAUUUCAGUUCCUAAACUUGUCUAGGUCACACCCAACAAAGGUUUCUCCUGGGCCAUUAGCUCAGGUGGUUAGAGCGCACCCCUGAUAAGGGUGAGGUCCCUGGUUCAAGUCCAGGAUGGCCCAUUCGUUGUUGGGGGUAUAGCUCAGUUGGUAGAGCGCCUGCUUUGCAAGCAGGAUGUCAGCGGUUCGAGUCCGCUUACCUCCACUGAAAACUAUCCUGAUAACUAAAUUUCUGGAGAAAAAAAUUGUAGAUGUGGCUUAGAAUUGUCUAUUUGAAAAGAACCUAGCUUCUUGUCAUCUUUUUAUAGUUGAUAAAAUGCUGGGCUCGCAUGGAUUAUUUCCAUGAGAAUUCAGUAGAACCUUGAAAACUGCAUAGAUUAGAAAGAAUAAAGCAUCUCAUGGAUGCAUAGUUCUGUUUUUAUAAUUUAGCCUUAAAACUAAAUUAUUUAAUUCUAGAACUCAUGUUUAAUUCUUGAGUAAUAGCCGAGCACAAUUGAUUUUGUGAUUGUAUUAAAGGUCAAGCUACAAAGGGCUCAG